CUUUGUAAUCAGUCCAUCUGCAUAAUUCAUCUCAGUUCGGGUAACGAUGUUAGCCAGACCAUGGCCACAUGGGGUCGGCGUCAUUGUCUUGGUGAUGUCGGAAUUUCUUAGUAAUCGGUGACAUCCCUAAUUGAUCUGAGCCGAAAUGCCGCCGUGCUAAUCAAUGCCAAAAACAUCCCUUUGUUUAUUACCGACAGAACUCCGUAUGUGGCCCGGCCGCUGGCACGGCAAGGUGCCACGGUACCGCUAAAGCGGUCAUUACAGCAGCGCAUCUCGUGGCGUAUGCAUCGCAGACUUUUCGCUCUAAAAUUUCUCGAGUUUUCGCUUAAGUCUUUCCUCUAACCUUGUCGGACGAUUUGAACACGCUUGUCUCUAGUUUCAUCUUGCUGGCCAAGCCACCACGUAUACGCCCCGUCGGCGGAAACCGCUUCCCGUUCAGCGGAGCCAGCGCGCCAAGACCCCGUAAACGUCGGCCCGUCCCUGGAGCCAGUCAGCUAGGUCUCCGUCGGUUCAUUCCUCGGUACCGGUCAAUCACGUCCCCGUUCCGGUGUCUCCCUACAGAGCCCUUGCGAGGCCCUGAACAUAGGACACAACUUUCGCGGUCUCAAGCCGGAUUUCCUCCGAACUUGUUCGUACGUACCCGGCGGCAUUGCUUGGACAGUGCUUUGACAACGUACUCCCAGACUGUUGACUUCCUGACCCUUCUUGACCCGUCUUCAGCUUAGAGAGGCGAACAUCCGGUCAACACCGAUCAACUAGCCGAACCUUUCUUCAGUGACCGAACUCAACUCCACGCCCCGGACAGAAAUGUUCCAGUCAACAUGACGACGACCUUGGACUGUUGGACUUCAAAAGAAACAUGGACUGGUUCGACUGACAUGGACUUGCAAAAUGGAGACAAAUGGCCGCAUGCUGAGGAUUCGAGUAACUAAUCGCCUAUGAGAUUAUGUAUGAAUUUCUCCUCAGACUAACCAUACAGGACAAGAGCGACAACGACGAGAUGUUCCUGACACCCAUACCUGUGUCCAUCAGGACGAAACAGUUCCAUCACAAAGUCAGUCGGGUCCUUCCACUGCAAGUCACUGAGACGAGCUGUAUCGCUGGAGGAGCCGGAAUAGACGUCUGUGCACCUUAUAAAGUCGGGAAGGAGCUACACAUCACCCAGAACCGCACCGUCCACAGAAGGAAGACAACGAGAGGGCUAAGAAAUGCCAGAACAGUAGCAGAUCUGGAGCAGCAAAUCGAUUGCACUGCCACAACCACAGAAAACCUAAAACUAGUUAGAUAAUUCACGGGCUGGUUUUGACUGA